rnacentral:rRNA from 1 species
UGGGGAAUUUUGGACAAUGGGGGAAACCUGAUCCAGCAAUGCCGCGUGAGUGAAGAAGGCCUUCGGGUUGUAAAGCUCUUUUGUCAGGGAAGAAACAGCAGCUCUAACACAGUCUGCGAAUGACGGUACCUGAAGAAUAAGCACCGGCUAACUACGUGCCAGCAGCCGCGGUAAUACGUAGGGUGCAAGCGUUAAUCGGAAUUACUGGGCGUAAAGCGUGCGCAGGCGGUUAUAUAAGACAGAUGUGAAAUCCCCGGGCUCAACCUGGGAACUGCAUUUGUGACUGCAUAGCUAGAGUACGGUAGAGGGGGAUGGAAUUCCGCGUGUAGCAGUGAAAUGCGUAGAUAUGCGGAGGAACACCGAUGGCGAAGGCAAUCCCCUGGACCUGUACUGACGCUCAUGCACGAAAGCGUGGGGAGCAAACAGGAUUAGAUACCCUGGUAGUCCACGCCCUAAACGAUGCUGACUAGUUGUUCGGGAUUUACAUCCUGAGUAACGUAGCUAACGCGUGAAGUCAGCCGCCUGGGGAGUACGGUCGCAAGAUUA